UUCCUACGGGGGGCAGCAGUGGGGGAUAUUGCACAAUGGGGGGAACCCUGAUGCAGCGACGCCGCGUGGGUGAAGGAGCGUUUCGGCGCGUAAAGCCCUAUCGGCAGGGAAGAAGGAGGACGGUACCUGACUAAGAAGCCCCGGCUAACUACGUGCCAGCAGCCGCGGUAAUACGUAGGGGGCAAGCGUUAUCCGGAUUUACUGGGUGUAAAGGGAGCGUAGACGGCAUUGCAAGUCCGGAGUGAAAGCCCACGGCCCAACCGUGGGACUGCUCUGGAAACUGAAG
rnacentral:rRNA from 1 species